GGGGAAUUUUGGACAAUGGGCGCAAGCAUGAUCCAGCCAUGCCGCGUGAGUGAAGAAGGCCUUCGGGUUGUAAAGCUCUUUCGCAAGGGAAGAAAACGAGUGGGCUAAUAUCCUGCGCAGAUGACGGUACCUUGACAAGAAGCACCGGCUAACUCUGUGCCAGCAGCCGCGGUAAUACAGAGGGUGCGAGCGUUAAUCGGAUUUACUGGGCGUAAAGCGUGCGUAGGCGGCUUUUUAAGUCGGAUGUGAAAUCCCCGAGCUUAACUUGGGAAUUGCAUUAGAUACUGGGAAGCUAGAGUAUGGGAGAGGAUGGUAGAAUUCCAGGUGUAGCGGUGAAAUGCGUAGAGAUCUGGAGGAAUACCGAUGGCGAAGGCAGCCAUCUGGCCUAAUACUGACGCUGAGGUACGAAAGCAUGGGGAGCAAACA
rnacentral:rRNA from 1 species